UACAGAGGGUGCAAGCGUUGCUCGGAAUCAUUGGGCGUAAAGGGUAUGUAGGUGGUCUCAUUUGUCUGGGGUGAAAGCCCAGGGCUUAACCCUGGAAGUGCCCCGGAAACGGUGAGACUGGAGUACUGGAGAGGGUCGUGGAAUUCCCGGUGUAGCGGUGAAAUGCGUAGAGAUCGGGAGGAACACCAGAGGCGAAGGCGGCGACCUGGACAGUAACUGACACUCAACUACGAAAGCGUGGGGAGCAAACAGG
rnacentral:rRNA from 1 species